CAGCCGCCGCGGUAAUACGGAGGGGGCUAGCGUUGUUCGGAAUUACUGGGCGUAAAGCGCGCGUAGGCGGCUUGGUAAGUUAGAGGUGAAAGCCUGGGGCUCAACCCCAGAAUUGCCUUUAAGACUGCCGAGCUAGUAGGUGAGAGAGGUAAGUGGAAUUCCGAGUGUAGAGGUGAAAUUCGUAGAUAUUCGGAAGAACACCAGUGGCGAAGGCGGCUUACUGGCUCAUUCUAGACGCUGAGGUGCGAAAGCGUGGGGAGCAAACAGGAUUAGAUACCCCCGUAGUCCCUGUCUCUUAUAC
rnacentral:rRNA from 1 species